rnacentral:rRNA from 1 species
UACGAAGGGGGCUAGCGUUGCUCGGAAUCACUGGGCGUAAAGCGCACGUAGGCGGAUUGUUAAGUCGGGGGUGAAAUCCUGGAGCUCAACUCCAGAACUGCCUUCGAUACUGGCGAUCUCGAGUUCGGGAGAGGUGAGUGGAACUGCGAGUGUAGAGGUGAAAUUCGUAGAUAUUCGCAAGAACACCAGUGGCGAAGGCGGCUCACUGGCCCGAUACUGACGCUGAGGUGCGAAAGGCGUGGGGAGCAAACAGG